rnacentral:rRNA from 1 species
AUUGAACGCUGGCGGCAUGCCUUACACAUGCAAGUCGAACGGUAACAGGUUAAGCUGACGAGUGGCGAACGGGUGAGUAAUACAUCGGAACGUGCCCAGUAGUGGGGGAUAGCCCGGCGAAAGCCGGAUUAAUACCGCAUAUGACCUAAGGGUGAAAGGGGGGGAUCGCAAGACCUCUCGCUAUUGGAGCGGCCGAUGUCAGAUUAGCUAGUUGGUGGGGUAAAAGCUCACCAAGGCGACGAUCUGUAGCUGGUCUGAGAGGACGACCAGCCACACUGGGACUGAGACACGGCCCAGACUCCUACGGGAGGCAGCAGUGGGGAAUUUUGGACAAUGGGCGCAAGCCUGAUCCAGCCAUGCCGCGUGCGGGAAGAAGGCCUUCGGGUUGUAAACCGCUUUUGUCAGGGAAGAAAUCCUUUGGGUUAAUACCUCGGGGGGAUGACGGUACCUGAAGAAUAAGCACCGGCUAACUACGUG